ACAUCCCUCUGACCUCUCUAGAGAUAGAGAUUUCCUUCGGGACAGAGGUGACAGGUGGUGCAUGGUUGUCGUCAGCUCGUGUCGUGAGAUGUUGGGUUAAGUCCCGCAACGAGCGCAACCCCUAUUGUUAGUUGCCAUCAUUCAGUUGGGCACUCUAGCGAGACUGCCGGUAAUAAACCGGAGGAAGGUGGGGAUGACGUCAAAUCAUCAUGCCCCUUAUGACCUGGGCUACACACGUGCUACAAUGGCUGGUACAACGAGUCGCAAGCCGGUGACGGCAAGCUAAUCUCUUAAAGCCAGUCUCAGUUCGGAUUGUAGGCUGCAACUCGCCUACAUGAAGUCGGAAUCGCUAGUAAUCGCGGAUCAGCACGCCGCGGUGAAUACGUUCCCGGGCCUUGUACACACCGCCCGUCACGCCACGAGAGUUUGUAACACCCGAAGUCGGUGAGGUAACCUUUUAGGAGCCAGCCGCCUAAGGUGGGAUAGAUGAUUGGGGUGAAGUCGUAACAAGGUAAGCGUAGCGAG
rnacentral:rRNA from 1 species